GCUUUUACAAUUAAUUUUUUUUUAUCCUUCUCGCUUUCUCUCUCUCUCAUAGCUCUUUGUGGUCAUGACUAUUAAUCAAUUUCAAAACCUUUCUAUUUUUCUAUUAUUUUCUUGGCAACCAAACAGAGUUUAUGACUAGUGUUUUAUUUUAUUUUAUUUUUUUUAACGACUUUCAUUUUGAUUUCCUCAUUAAGAUCAUCGCCAUCGAAUUGAUUUCACCAAGCUGGUAGCCUGGUACUACUACAUUCAGAUAUUCACACUUUUCCCUAUCCAAAACCUUCGAUUAGGGGCAUUUGCAUUGGUAUUUCAGCUCAAUGAAUGGUCAAGGAGAGUUCAAAUUUCACUAUCUGUGGGAUUGAAAGCAAGAACGUCAGUUGCCUCAGUACUCUCACUUUGAAGUCUGAACUGAUCUUCCUUCCCUUUUUGUCAUCCCAUCAGGUUAAGGGGAGGCGGUUAAAGAUAUGGUUCAUCAGAAUAUCUAACUAACUUCAUUUGGUUCUGUUUCAAAGGUUGAUAGUAACUUCAGAUACCAUUAGUAGGAAAAUUCCUUUUUCCAAAAGUAUUUGAAAGAACAAAGGCUUCCUCCUCAGACAUUUAUACCUCUUCAGUCAAUUCAUGUUAAGCCAAUCAUUGAGAGAUUGCGGGCCUUAGGUGUUACUGCAAAGCUGGUCUUUGAUGUAAUCCAAUAUCCUUUGCUAAAGCUUGUCUCUUUACCAGUUUACCUACACAUUCUGAUAGUGAAAUUUCAAUGUGUGCUGCACUGCCUAUUGGCAUACAUCUUCUGGUGAUUUAUAUAUAACAGACUGAUCCUAAGUUGGUGGUUAAGAUACUUCUCAUUGCAAUUUAUCUAAUGAUUCUUUGCCUCUCUAACUCAUGAUAAUCACUCCAGGUUUUUUUUAUCUUAUUUAUGGAAAGUUCUUUACCGUAUUUGUUAAUGAGCAUUUAGCAACUAAGUUCAUUGUCAUCUAUGGUUACUCAAAGAAGAAAAAAUACUUUAACUUUUGAUAACCCCAACUAGUAAAAAGGUAAAGGAUGCUUUUGUGUGUGUGUGUGUGUGCGCUUUUGGGUUGACUUGUUCUGAUCUGAUUGGGAUGUUUUUAGGAUGACAUAUUGUCUUAGAGAAUCCUACGAAGAAGAUGUUGAUGUGAGUAGAACCUUGAGACGGUGUGAAGUUAGUGAUGAUCUUGAUGAAGGCAUGUAGCAAAGUAUGCAGCAAACCUUGAGAAGGACAAUUUCUAGGAGAUGGGUGAUACAGGUCCUUAUGGACCUUGCACUGAAAUACAUUAUGAUAGAAUUGGUAAUCGAGAUGCUGCAUCAUUGGUUAACAAUGAUGAUCCUACGUGCCUUGAGAUUUGGAACCUUGUCUUUAUUCAGUAAGCUGAAGGAUUACGACAAUUGGAGCAUUACAGGACAAAAAGUACAAUCUGGCCUAGCAGUUAUCUCGCGACUCAUUCCACUUGUGAGACUAAGUCACCAAAAUGCCUUGUUAUGCAGAAAAAUGACCUUUCAUAUUCCUCACGUAUACUACUAUAAAUACCCUUUAUAUUCAUGAAAUUAGAGAGCUUAUAGAGAGAAUUUUGAGAGAGAAAUCCUAGAGAAAAUCAAGAUUGACUCAUCUACAAUCUUAGACAUUUGAUUCUCCAAAUUUUUCUACUCACCCCCUCCAUUGACAUAUCCUUGAAAGGCAAAUUUGUCAAAUCCUUAUCUCAUCAUACCCAUAUCAAUGACGAGGUAUUUUGGUGUUUGGGAAGCAGUUCGGAGAUGACUAAUUUGACUCUUCAAAUUCCUCUAUUCUCACCCUCUCCAUUAACAUAUCCUUGAGAGGUACAUUUGCCAAAUCCUUAUCUCAUCAUGCCCAUAUCAGUGAGGAGGUAUUUUGAUGUUUGGGAAGCAGUUCAGAGAUGACCAAUUCAUUUGGUUGAUGCAAUGGGCUUAUUGCAGGAUCCAAGAAGCUAAAGAAGACAUGGUUGGGCUUAACCCUGUUAGAGUAAGAAGCUUGGAGGGCUUAGAUGCAUUGGGUAAAUUAGGCUUGAAGGAUUUAUUACUAUUCGUGUAUCUUAACUUUAUUCUUUAGUGGAUUAUUUUACCGCUUGGAGGGCGGCAAAGAGGUUUUUCGUCAAGUUCUUCGGUUUACUCUUCGAUAAUAUGUGCCAGUGUUAUCCUUGUGUUUGUAUCUCUCUAACCCUUACUCUCUACCUUUAAUCGCUAAUGUAUUUUGAUUAAUUAUGGUGUAGAGUUGUUUA